UUUCGGCUCAUCCGCGUCCAACAGUUUAAUCGCUUCUUCGCCGGUCGAAACAACUGUUACAUCGUAUCCGCCGUCUUUCAGGGUUUCUUCCAACAACGCCUGAAGUAGCAUUUCGUCCUCGACGACAAGGAUGAGUAUUUCAUCGUUCACGGUGCACCCUUCUGGCUGGCCUGGGUCGCUAGAAUCCUGCGCAGCCCAAUGNGAAAUCGCGGGGAGCCGGCGGUUGAAGAACGCGUGGUUCAUGCUUUCAUACCCCCAAUGCU
rnacentral:misc_RNA from 1 species